GACGAACGCUGGCGGCGUGCUUAACACAUGCAAGUCGAACGGAAAGGCCCUGCUUUUGUGGGGUGCUCGAGUGGCGAACGGGUGAGUAACACGUGAGUAACCUGCCCUUGACUUUGGGAUAACUUCAGGAAACUGGGGCUAAUACCGGAUAGGAGCUCCUGCUGCAUGGUGGGGGUUGGAAAGUUUCGGCGGUUGGGGAUGGACUCGCGGCUUAUCAGCUUGUUGGUGGGGUAGUGGCUUACCAAGGCUUUGACGGGUAGCCGGCCUGAGAGGGUGACCGGCCACAUUGGGACUGAGAUACGGCCCAGACUCCUACGGGAGGCAGCGGUGGGGAAUAUUGCACAAUGGGCGGAAGCCUGAUGCAGCAACGCCGCGGGCGGGAUGACGGCCUUCGGGUUGUAAACCGCUUUCGCCUGUGACGAAGCGUGAGUGACGGUAAUGGGUAAAGAAGCACCGGCUAACUACGUG
rnacentral:rRNA from 1 species